GGAAGCUGAGCUCGGAACUUGUUGCUGGAGGUGGACAUGAUACGUGCUGGGAACGCAGCUUUGUCGGUCAAAUCAGGUUGUGGAAAUCCACCUGCCUGUCUUCCCUGCCACCUCUUGAUGAAUGACCCGGACCCCACCCUGCCACAUUAAGUGUACCGGCUAUCUUCUCAGACUCCACCCGUGAAGCACCAGGAGAAAAGGCAUUCCCAGGUCCGAGGGGGCGGCGACGUUUUCCACCAGGACGUCCCGACAAGAGAUGAGGUCAGCUAUGAUGAAUUUGAUUUGAUGUCACGCAAAAAAAAAAAAAAAAGUGCCGGCGAUGCUUUUUGAAGGUGACCUCCCCCUCGCUAACCCUCCCUGGCAGAGUUAAUUAAAGACGGAGGCGGCUCGGGGUGAAAGUACUGUGGGAAUGAUCUGAUCCUAUGGAUGAUUUUUUUGUGAGUUAAUCAUUGACUUUGCCUGAAACAACGAACGAAUGCGAAAUUCACCCUGCUUAUUUGCAACCUCGAGUGACAAAUCAGUUAGUUCAUUUCAUACCCACUUGCAUGCUCGGCAGAAUUGAUGGGGUGCAAUUAUUAGUGACCGAUAUUAUGUCAUAUGUGAGUGAGAUCUUGUCAUUGUACGUCACGAGACGUUUCAUCAUAUUUUUUUAUGGCCACUUGUUGCUCGUCAGAAUUGACGGGGCACGAUUAUUGUUGCCCCGAAGAGGAACCAAAAAAUACACAGCAGUCAGGCGUACGGAUAUUUUUUUUACAUUUUAUUCAUUUAUUUAUUUAUUUAAUGUGAUGAGUUGGCACUUGUUGCUAGGCAGAAUUGAUCGGGCACAAUUGUUUGUGACCCCACCCCCAAAAAUUGGCAUACUGGAAUCAGGCAUUUAAAAAAAAAAAAUUAUGUUUCCCAGUUAGGUCAUAUUUUUGUAUGGCCGCUUGUUGCUAGACAGAUUUGGAUGGGGCACAAUAAUUUGUGACCCAAAGACAAACUGGGGGAAAAAAAACGUAUUCAUAUGUCAGAUUUGUGACUAGGUAGAAUUUGUGGCAGGCAAUUUGCGGAAGCUUCCCCAUAUUGGCAUUAUAAGGCUAAUUUGCCCACAACUCAACCUGAAAAUUAUUUUGAAUGAGCAAACUUUCAUGAUUUAUGACUCCCUCUGUCGUACCUGAAGGGGCACUGCCCCAAUUUCCGCUAAAUGCUAGUUGUUCAGACCCAAGUCGUCGCGCCAAGCAAGUCAUAAGCAAAAGUGCUUGUGCAUUCUUAUCUUCAGUGGUGAGUCUCUCUUAGCCACCGCUAAUUGCUAACUCUAGUCCCCCCCCCCCCUCCCGCCUCCCGCACCCCCCUCCAGCGUGUUUUGGCAGCGCGUCGGCGAGCUUUUUUGGCCGCCCUUCCAUGUUUUCCACCGUUGUUUCCUGGAGUCCUGAAUGGGAUGGGUCGUUUGCGAAAUGACAGGACACGCCAACAAAUUGCAUCACUUCUGGCUCAGCAGCUGAGG